GACAGAGGGUGCAAGCGUUGUUCGGAAUCAUUGGGCGUAAAGGGCGCGUAGGCGGUUUGGUUAGUCGAAUGUGAAAGCCCAGGGCUCAACCUUGGAAGUGCAUCCGAAACUGCCAAACUCGAGUCUCGAAGAGGGUGGUGGAAUUCCCAGUGUAGAGGUGAAAUUCGUAGAUAUUGGGAGGAACACCAGUGGCGAAGGCGACCGCCUGGUCGAUGACUGACGCUGAGGCGCGAAAGCGUGGGGAGCAAACAGG
rnacentral:rRNA from 1 species